GAUGAACGCUGGCGGCGUGCCUAAUACAUGCAAGUCGAGCGAAUGGAUUAAGAGCUUGCUCUUAUGAAGUUAGCGGCGGACGGGUGAGUAACACGUGGGUAACCUGCCCAUAAGACUGGGAUAACUCCGGGAAACCGGGGCUAAUACCGGAUAACAUUUUGAACCGCAUGGUUCGAAAUUGAAAGGCGGCUUCGGCUGUCACUUAUGGAUGGACCCGCGUCGCAUUAGCUAGUUGGUGAGGUAACGGCUCACCAAGGCAACGAUGCCUAGCCGACCUGAGAGGGGGAGAGGGCAAACUGGGACUGGGACACGGCCAAGACUCCUACGGGAGGCAGCAGUAGGGAAUCUUCCGCAAUGGACGAAAGUCUGACGGAGCAACGCCGCGUGAGUGAUGAAGGCUUUCGGGUCGUAAAACUCUGUUGUUAGGGAAGAACAAGUGCUAGUUGAAUAAGCUGGCACCUUGACGGUACCUAACCAGAAAGCCACGGCUAACUACGUGCCAGCCGCCGCCGUAA
rnacentral:rRNA from 1 species